UGCGUAGGCGGGCUAAUAAGUCAGUGGUGAAAUCUCUCGGCUCAACCGGGAAACUGCCAUUGGUACUGUUAGUCUUGAGUUCGGUUGAGGUAGGCGGAAUGUGUAAUGUAGCGGUGAAAUGCUUAGAUAUUACACAGAACACCAAUUGCGUAGGCAGCUUACUAGACCGACACUGACGCUGAGGCACGAAAGCGUGGGGAGCGAACAGGAUUAGAUACCCUGGUAGUCC
rnacentral:rRNA from 1 species